AUUUGACAAUUAACAGAGAAAAUUCCACAUGCAUUUGUAAGGGUAAACAUGAACAGUGAACCAAAACAAACUUGUAGAGGGAGAUGUUUUGACUUUGAAAUGACUUAUCUCUUAAACUAUUAAAACUUUUGGAGUCGAAUCCCAAAGUGAGAAUAAAUUCGUUUUGCACCAAAUUUUGUAUGUUCAAUGGUAUUGAGAGGAUGUGGCAGCUUUUUUCACGUUGAUUCGAUUCGCUAUUCUGAAUAAAACACGCCCAGCUUUGCAAAGACUGCUUCCUCAAAAUCCUUGGCUAUAGCGAGAGCAGAUAUUUUGGGGCACUCCUUGAUAUUCCGAGCAACUGUACCUUCAGGCUGUGAUGUGCAAAAUUAUUUUUGAGCUUUCCACUACCAACAAGUGUUCAAACUUCACCAGUCCAGUCCAGAAAAUCAUUUCAAAGUCAACACAUCUCAGGUUUUUUUUGGUUCACUUUAUGUUUGUAUACAAGUAUUACGGACAGAGUAAGAUAGAUAUCCGUAAAUAUAAUCAAAUAUUAUUCAAAAGAAGUAUACUCGUAUAAGCUGCCCGAUUUUGGAACUAAUUGAGAAAAGGUUGAUCUGUUACUACAUAAGUAUACAUACAUACAUAAGUACUUAUGUAUGUACUAUUGCAAUUUUUUAAAUACCCAGUUGUUAAUUUAUGCAAUAAAUGGCAACAUUGUUGUUGUCGCCCUACUUACUUUAUGUGGCAUUGGCGGUGAUUAGCCCAAAUUUAUGAAAUAAAUCCAUUUAUAAACGAAUUUAGCUAGAUAUACAUUUAUACUACUUAUACAAACAUACAUACAUAUGUAUGUAUGCCAAACGUCGUUGUGCAAAGCACGUUUUAAAAUGUUAGUCAACUUUCAUUUACUUGUACGAAAUUUUAUUAGAGAAAUAUUCAAAUUAAUACACCAAUUUGUAUUUACUAAGCUUUAUUAUUUAAAAAACAUUAUAAAAUAAAUAAAUAUUCUUAUACCUUA